UACGGGGGGGGCAAGCGUUGUUCGGAAUUACUGGGCGUAAAGGGCUCGUAGGCGGCCAACUAAGUCAGACGUGAAAUCCCUCGGCUUAACCGGGGAACUGCGUCUGAUACUGGAUGGCUUGAGAUUGGGAGAGGGAUGCGGAAUUCCGGGUGUAGCGGUGAAAUGCGUAGAUAUCCGGAGGAACACCGGUGGCGAAGGCGGCUUCCUGGACCGACACUGACGCUGAGGCGCGAAAGCUAGGGGAGCAAACAGG
rnacentral:rRNA from 1 species